UACAGAGGUCUCAAGCGUUUGUUCGGAUUCAUUGGGCGUAAAGGGUGUGUAGGUGGCGCGCUAAGUCGGGUGUGAAAUUUCGGAGCUUAACUCCGAAACUGCAUUCGAUACUGGCGUGCUUGAGGACUGGAGAGGAGACUGGAAUUCAUGGUGUAGCAGUGAAAUGCGUAGAGAUCAUGAGGAAGACCAGUGGCGAAGGCGGGUCUCUGGACAGUUCCUGACACUGAGACACGAAGGCCAGGGGAGCAAAACGGG
rnacentral:rRNA from 1 species